rnacentral:rRNA from 1 species
AGAGUUUGAUCCUGGCUCAGGACGAACGCUGGCGGCGUGCUUAACACAUGCAAGUCGAACGGAAAGGCCCUGCUUUUGUGGGGUGCUCGAGUGGCGAACGGGUGAGUAACACGUGAGUAACCUGCCCUUGACUUUGGGAUAACUUCAGGAAACUGGGGCUAAUACCGGAUAGGAGCUCCUGCUGCAUGGUGGGGGUUGGAAAGUUUCGGCGGUUGGGGAUGGACUCGCGGCUUAUCAGCUUGUUGGUGGGGUAGUGGCUUACCAAGGCUUUGACGGGUAGCCGGCCUGAGAGGGUGACCGGCCACAUUGGGACUGAGAUACGGCCCAGACUCCUACGGGAGGCAGCAGUGGGGAAUAUUGCACAAUGGGCGGAAGCCUGAUGCAGCAACGCCGCGUGCGGGAUGACGGCCUUCGGGUUGUAAACCGCUUUCGCCUGUGACGAAGCGUGAGUGACGGUAAUGGGUAAAGAAGCACCGGCUAACUACGUGCCAGCAGCCGCGGUGAUACGUAGGGUGCGAGCGUUGUCCGGAUUUAUUGGGCGUAAAGGGCUCGUAGGUGGUUGAUCGCGUCGGAAGUGUAAUCUUGGGGCUUAACCCUGAGCGUGCUUUCGAUACGGGUUGACUUGAGGAAGGUAGGGGAGAAUGGAAUUCCUGGUGGAGCGGUGGAAUGCGCAGAUAUCAGGAGGAACACCAGUGGCGAAGGCGGUUCUCUGGGCCUUUCCUGACGCUGAGGAGCGAAAGCGUGGGGAGCGAACAGGCUUAGAUACCCUGGUAGUCCACGCUGUAAACGGUGGGUACUAGGUGUGGGGUCCAUUCCACGGGUUCCGUGCCGUAGCUAACGCUUUAAGUACCCCGCCUGGGGAGUACGGCCGCAAGGCUAAAACUCAAAGGAAUUGACGGGGCCCCGCACAAGCGGCGGAGCAUGCGGAUUAAUUCGAUGCAACGCGUAGAACCUUACCUGGGUUUGACAUGGAUCGGGAGCGCUCAGAGAUGGGUGUGCCUCUUUUGGGGUCGGUUCACAGGUGGUGCAUGGCUGUCGUCAGCUCGUGUCGUGAGAUGUUGGGUUAAGUCCCGCAACGAGCGCAACCCUUGUUCACUGUUGCCAGCACGUUAUGGUGGGGACUCAGUGGAGACCGCCGGGGUCAACUCGGAGGAAGGUGGGGAUGACGUCAAGUCAUCAUGCCCCUUAUGUCCAGGGCUUCACGCAUGCUACAAUGGCUGGUACAGAGAGUGGCGAGCCUGUGAGGGUGAGCGAAUCUCGGAAAGCCGGUCUCAGUUCGGAUUGGGGUCUGCAACUCGACCUCAUGAAGUCGGAGUCGCUAGUAAUCGCAGAUCAGCAACGCUGCGGUGAAUACGUUCCCGGGGCUUGUACACACCGCCCGUCAAGUCAUGAAAGUUGGUAACACCCGAAGCCGGUGGCCUAACCGUUGUGGGGGAGCCGUCGAAGGUGGGACUGGUGAUUAGGACUAAGUCG